rnacentral:misc_RNA from 1 species
AUUUUAGCAGCAAUGGCUCUCCGUCGCCUCUCUCUCCUCUUAUUGUUCUCCCUUUCUUUCCACGUCGGCGUCCUUCCCGAUGACCCUCUGCCCGUCAUGGCUUCUUCAGACAACAACAAAUCGCUCUGCAGCAGCUUCCGAUUCUUCAGUUCCGGCAAUUCAGCUCCGCCGUGGAACUUCUUCUCAUUCUCUCUCGCUUCCUAGGGUUUACUCUCGUUCUCG